GGGGGUGGGGGGUACUGGCCCCCCACUAUGGCAACAUUUAUUUUGUCUCUCGAUCCAGCCUCUCACCUGUCCACAGAGAACAGGUUUCAGAGGAACCCCACCCCUUUCCAAACCAGUAAUUUCAAUCUCCUGGGGCGUGAGUUGCUUUGUUGUAGAGGAAGCCUGACCGUGUUCCCUCCGCUAGGCACGGAGACUUACAGAAGCGUAAGGCAGAACUGGAGGAGCUGGAAAAAGCCCUGAGCACUGAGCGGGAGGUUCUGCAGCAGGAACAGAGGACCAGUGCCAUCGCCACGAGCGAGAACCAGAGGCUGCGAGGAGAGCUGGACAGGAUCAGUUUCCUGCACCACCAGCUGAAGGGGGAAUAUGAGGAGCUGC
rnacentral:lncRNA from 1 species